rnacentral:rRNA from 1 species
UACGGAGGGUGCGAGCGUUGUCCGGAAUCAUUGGGCGUAAAGGGCGCGUAGGUGGCCCGGUCAGUUCGUGGUGAAAGCGCGGGGCUCAACCCUGCGUCGGCAUGAAUACUGCCGCGGCUGGAGCACUGUAGAGGCAGGCGGAAUUCCGGGUGUAGCGGUGGAAUGCGUAGAGAUCCGGAAGAACACCGGUGGCGAAGGCGGCCUGCUGGGCAGUUGCUGACACUGAGGCGCGACAGCGUGGGGAGCAAACAGG